GAAGUAGCUUGCUACUUCGGCGUCGAGCGGCGGACGGGUGAGUAAUGCCUAGGAAGUUGCCCAGUAGAGGGGGAUAACCAUUGGAAACGAUGGCUAAUACCGCAUAUUCUCUUUGGAGCAAAGCAGUGGGACCUUCGGGCCUUGCGCUAUUGGAUACGCCUAGGUGGGAUUAGCUAGUUGGUGAGGUAAUGGCUCACCAAGGCAACGAUCCCUAGCUGGUCUGAGAGGAGUGACCAGCAAUACUGGAACUGAGACACGGUCCAGACUCCUACGGGAGGCAGCAGUGGGGAAUAUUGCACAAUGGGCGAAAGCCUGAUGCAGCCAUGCCGCGUGUAUGAAGAAGGCCUUCGGGUUGUAAAGUACUUUCAGUCGUGAGGAAGGGGGUAAGCUUAAUACGCUUAUCUCUUGACGUUAGCGACAGAAGAAGCACCGGCUAACUCCGUGCCAGCAGCCGCGGUAAUACGGAGGGUGCGAGCGUUAAUCGGAAUUACUGGGCGUAAAGCGCAUGCAGGUGGUUCAAUAAGUCAGAUGU
rnacentral:rRNA from 1 species